rnacentral:rRNA from 1 species
UUGUGGAAGAAGGCCUUCUGAUUGUAAAGCACUUUUUUGCGAGGAGGAGGCUACUUUAGUUAAUACCUACAGAUAGUGGACGUUACUCGCAGAAUAAGCACCGGCUAACUCUGUGCCAGCAGCCGCGGUAAUACAGAGGGUGCGAGCGUUAAUCGGAUUUACUGGGCGUAAAGCGUGCGUAGGCGGCUUAUUAAGUCGGAUGUGAAAUCCCCGAGCUUAACUUGGGAAUUGCAUUCGAUACUGGUGAGCUAGAGUAUGGGAGAGGAUGGUAGAAUUCCAGGUGUAGCGGUGAAAUGCGUAGAGAUCUGGAGGAAUACCGAUGGCGAAGGCAGCCAUCUGGUCUAAUACUGACGCUGAGGUACGAAAGCAUGGGGAGCAAACAGGAUUAUAUACCCUGGUAGUCCAUGCCGUAAACGAUGUCUACUAGCCGUUGGGGCCUUUGAGGCUUUAGGGGCGCAGCUAACGCGAUAAGUAGACCGCCUGGGGAGUACGGCCGCAAGACUAAAACUCAAAUGAAUUGACGGGGGCCCGCACAAGCGGGGGAGCAUGUGGUUUAAUUCGAUGCAACGCGAAGAACCUUACCUGGCCUUGACAUACUAGAAACUUUCCAGAGAUGGAUUGUCGCCUUCGGGAAUCUAGAUACAGGUGCUGCAUGUCUCUUCGUCAGAACCCCUG